ACGGGCACAUCACGUUGAAACACCGGCUCUCGUACCAUCACCGAAGUUAAACAACGUCGAAUCUGGUGAGUACCUAGAUAGGUGACCGCUUGGGAAUACCAGGUGCU